GACGAACGCUGGCGGCGUGCUUAACACAUGCAAGUCGAACGGAAAGGCCCUGCUUUUGUGGGGUGCUCGAGUGGCGAACGGGUGAGUAACACGUGAGUAACCUGCCCUUGACUUUGGGAUAACUUCAGGAAACUGGGGCUAAUACCGGAUAGGAGCCCCUGCUGCAUGGUGGGGGUUGGAAAGUUUCGGCGGUUGGGGAUGGACUCGCGGCUUAUCAGCUUGUUGGUGGGGUAGUGGCUUACCAAGGCUUUGACGGGUAGCCGGCCUGAGAGGGUGACCGGCCACAUUGGGACUGAGAUACGGCCCAGACUCCUACGGGAGGCAGCAGUGGGGAAUAUUGCACAAUGGGCGGAAGCCUGAUGCAGCAACGCCGCGUGCGGGAUGACGGCCUUCGGGUUGUAAACCGCUUUCGCCUGUGACGAAGCGCGAGUGACGGUAAUGGGUAAAGAAGCACCGGCUAACUACGUG
rnacentral:rRNA from 1 species